UAUUAGUUAUUAAUAACUUAUCUAUAUUUAAAAAAGGCUGACUUUUUAAAAAAAAAAAAAAAAUUAAAAGCUCUAAAACUUUAACUUACUCUCUCUCUCUCUCUUGUUAGUUCUAUCAGCCGCCUCCCUCCUUACCCUCUCCAUUGUUCUCUUCUCUUUCAGCCCUGCUAUCUCUCUCUUUUCUCUCAGCCUCGACCAGAAACGCCUCCUUUCCACUCGACUCCCCCUUUAUUGUCUCUCGUCUUUGGCCCUGCGUCCCCCAGAACCACUCGACUCUCCCCUUCUUUUCUCUCGACAACGGUUCUCUUCCUUCCCUCGACUUGUUGCGCCGAACGCACCUUCUAUCGCGCCUCACUCUCUCAGCCUCUGGAUGGCUCAGCUUGGUUCAACCACUCUACCGUGGGAUGAGGCGGUGUCGUGGCCUCAUUUUUUGGAUCGUUGGUAGAUUUUCCUCGGCUCGAUCUCUUGCUACUCGGAGCUUGGCUUUCAAGAUGAAUGUGCUUUAUUUCGAUGCUCCAGAGGUAUUUAUUGGGUUAUUUUCUUGUAAUGCAAAUAAGGUAUUAGUGUAAAUGCCUCAAUGGACUAAUAUUGUUGUGGUGUCCAUACCACGCCUCAAUGUAUUCAUCUUUUUUAUUUGCAAGGAAGCUAAGGAUACAUUUGUUUGGAUUGAUCAUACUUUGGGCUAUAUUGUUGAUUAAUUUAGGAAUAUUUCUUUCUUUCUUGGUAUUGAUUAAAUGUAUAAUAAAUCUUUGAUACUCA